CUGAGUAGUAGUAGUUAUGGUCUUGAAACUUAAAGAAUUUGGCGGUAUUUUAGUCUAUUCAGAGGAACCUGUUCUAUAAUCGAUAAUCCACGAUGGACCUUACUUUUUCUUGUCUUUACAGUUUAUAUACCGUCGUUAUUAGAAUAUUUUAAAAGAAUAUAAAUUUUCAUGAAUUUUUAUAAAAAUAUAUAUCAGAUCAAGGUGUAGCUUAUGAAAAAGCAGAAAUGGGUUACAAUAAAAAUAUUUAAACGGAUUAUUUUAUGCAAAAUGAUAUGAAGGUGGAUUUGAAUGUAAAAUUGUAAAGAUUAAUAAUUUGACCCUAGCUCUAAAAUAUGCACACAUCGCCCGUCGCUCUUAUUACUAAGAUAAGAUAAGUCGUAACAUAGUAGAUGUACCGGAAGGUGUAUCUAGAAUGACAAUUUAAAGCUUAUUAAGUAAAGUAUUUCAUUUACAUUGAAAAGAUUUUUGUGCAAAUCAUUAUAAAUUGAAUUUUAUUUAUUUAUUAAUAUUAUUUAAUUUACCUUUUUGUAACAAAAAUAAUUAUAUAGAAAUUUGUUUAAGUAUAGUAUAUAGAAAAAAUAUUAUUAGUGAUAAAGAAUUAGUAUCGUGAGAGAAUAUUGAAAUAUUUGAAAAAA
rnacentral:rRNA from 1 species